rnacentral:lncRNA from 1 species
CGAAAUCUGGCAAUUAUCUUGAACCUCUAGAUUAGGUUGUUGGAACACAUCCUGCUCCCUAGAGUAACAUGAGUGGUCACAUGGUUGAGUGCAAUGGGGGUGAGUGUUACUGGUAAUUUUCUUCUAGGAUUUGAACUUCCUCUUCUUCUCCACCAACUCAUGGCGCUUGUCCUCCAGUAGUAUCACCUUAUCCACAAGUUGCUGAAAGUUAGGGAAAUUGUGGGCCACUCACUGAUACAUAAUAAGUCCAUUCAGACCUUCUAGAAAGUGGUCUUGCUUCUUCUCAUCAUUAUCCACCUCUUCUGGCGCAUAGCGAGAUAGCUGUCUGAACUUAU